rnacentral:tRNA from 2 species
GGCGCUAUCGUCUAGCCUGGUUAGGACGCAGGGUUCUCAUCCCUGUAACCCGGGUUCAAAUCCCGGUGGCGUCA